rnacentral:lncRNA from 1 species
GUUUGUUUUCUUAUUUUACUUUAUGUGUUAACAUUGUGUGCAAGGGCGUAUGUGUGCACAUGGCAUGACAUACAUGUACAGAUCAGAGGACAACUGUAUGGAACCAGUUCUCUCCUUCUACCUUUAAAUAGGUAUUAGACUCAGGUUGUCCAGGCUGGGUGGCAAGCAAUUUUACCCACCGAGCCAUCUCAGCGUGCCUAAUCAUUUUUUCAGUAUUUAUUUUUAAUGUGCAUAUAUGUAUACCCGAGUGUAAGUCUGCACACCACAUGCCCGCAGAAUCCCGUGGAGAUCAGAAGAGGGUGUCAGAUCCCCUGGAACUGGAAUCACAGAUGGUUGGUGCAGGCAACUGUGGUGACACAUUAUUUAUGAUUUAAUAAAGCUUGCCUGAGGGUUCAGAAUGCAAAGAUAGCCACAAGCCACAGAGCUAGGCAGUGGUGGCACAUGCCUUUAAUCCCAGAACUCAGGACACAGGCCAAGGAAUCUGUCUGAGUUCAAGGCCAUCCUGGCCUACACAAGAGUGAAGAGGAACAGGGCUCACACCUUUGAUCUCAGCACUUGGGAUCACACGCCUUUAAUCCCAGCCCGAAGGAGGUAUAAAAGGAAGAAGCAAAGGGUCUCAUGGGAGGUUUAGUUUCCAGACAGGGAGUGCUAUUGCCUCUGAGGAUUCGUGGAGCCAGGAUCACCCUUUCAGUCUGAGAUGGAGGUAAGAGCUAGUGACUUGGCUGCUUUGCUUAUCUGGCCCAUCAGCUAGAACCCCAAUUUCUAUCUCUGGGUUUUUAUUUUUCGUGUUACAGGUAACUGAUCCCGGGUCCUCUGCAAGAGCAGCAAGCUCUCUUCAACCAUGCCCCAGUCUGUUUUUAAAAGCUCUCCAGGUGGUCCUGAUGUGCGUGCAGCCAGGAGAAGCACUGCUCUGUACAACGCUCUCUCUCCGCUGGGCUAGUCAGUUUACACAGCAAGAACAGCGUGAAGGCUGCGCGAUUCUGCUCCCACUGAAGAACACAUGAGCCUGGUGCAAAGCCUCCACAUGAUGUCCACGGUCCUAUCCAAAGCGUCCUUCAAAGACACCUGAGGACUGAAAUGACUUCCUAGGAAGAUGCUACCAAAGCCUUGCUUUUCUUUUUCUUUUUCCUUUUCUGCUGGCAC